GAUGAACGCUGGCGGCGUGCCUAAUACAUGCCAGUCGAGCGAACAGACGAGGAGCUUGCUCCUCUGACGUUAGCGGCGGACGGGUGAGUAACACGUGGAUAACCUACCUAUAAGACUGGGAUAACUUCGGGAAACCGGAGCUAAUACCGGAUAACAUGUUGAACCGCAUGGUUCAACAGUGAAAGACGGUCUUGCUGUCACUUAUAGAUGUAUCCGCGCCGCAUUAGCUAGUUGGUAAGGUAACGGCUUACCAAGGCAACGAUGCGUAGCCGACCUGAGAGGGUGAUCGGCCACACUGGAACUGAGACACGGUCCAGACUCCUACGGGAGGCAGCAGUAGGGAAUCUUCCGCAAUGGGCGAAAGCCUGACGGAGCAACGCCGCGUGAGUGAAGAAGGUCUUCGGAUCGUAAAACUCUGUUAUUAGGGAAGAACAAAUGUGUAAGUAACUAUGCACGUCUUGACGGUACCUAAUCAGAAAGCCACGGCUAACUACGUG
rnacentral:rRNA from 1 species